UACAAAAAAAAGAAAAUCAUGGAAUUCAGAAUAUAUUUCAAAAUCUUUCAUUAUAAAAACGUUAAAAUCUAUGUCAUGUCCACAGGAGCAGUUUCGGCACAAAGGGUGGCGCAUCUUUUCAGUUUCGGCUCACCGUCUGAAACGUCCUCCUAAAACAUCACAAACACUCAGCUGCAGCUCUCAUAGCCGCCUGCUCCCAGAUUUCAACAUGGCAGCAGAGAGAAACCAUUGGGUAAAAACAUCCUUACCCUUCGACCCAGUCGUGUGAGUAAGCCUUCAUCGUCCAGAGCUCCUAAGGUGUAGAGCUGCUCCAUGGCUGUGAUCAGAGUCUCCAUAGGAGGAGCGUCCAUGAAGUCAAAAGACAGCAGAUCAUUGAUGCCCAUUGCCUGGAGGAGUCAAUAGUAAUAUGAAUGAUGUCAUCCUAUGCAUGAUAAGAACUGAAAGACAACAGCACCUACCUUCAGCGACAGCACAGUGCUGGCCAAGUUGGUUCUCUGGAUUUCGGGUACAUUGGUUGUCAGCAUCUCAUCUCUGUAGGCUCUCUCAGUGUACAGCCUGUAACACUUUCCAGGGCCUGUUCUGCCGGCACGACCUGCCCUCUGCUUA